GUAAAAUCAUGCCUCUUGUUUACCUGAAAUUUGAAUAGGACUGGGCAUGGAGUAUUUUAUCCAUUAAGGCCCAUCCCAUGUCUGGGACUGACACUGACAUGAUAUCCACUCCACAACACCCCUCUGCCCAGGGUGAAAUGGGCAGGCAGGGCCAACCUGGCCACCUGGGCAUGGCUCAUCCACCACCAGCAAGACAGCUUGGUGCUGUGGCCCCACCAAACUCAAGGCAAUCCCAGGACCCCUGACUGAGACAGUAGUAGAGUCUCCCUCCCCCAGCAGCUGAGGCCCCAGGCCAGGGAAAAUUGGCCCCUGCUAGUGAGAGGACAAACCACUGCACACACUGGCCUGGCUCUGUCUCUGCAGCUGUGUCUUUCCCCACUACUGCCCCCCGUCCCGGGCAGCGCCCAACCUCGUGCCUGCCCUGGGGGCUCUGAGGCCCUAAAUGGGAGUGGCCUCAGGGUCUCUGAGGAGAUGGGCUGUCGCCUCUGUGAAGCGGGCACCUACCACAACCUGAUCCUGGAUGCCCUGCCCUGCCAGCUCUGCCCACCUGGAUUCAGCUGCUCCCAAGGGUCAGAGAGUUACCAGGGCCAGCCCUGCCCAGUGGGCCACUACUGCCCUGCAGGGACUCGAAGCCCCAGGCCCUGCCCAGCAGGGACCUUCAGAAGCAGCAGCGGAGCCAGGGCAGCUGAAGAGUGCCAGGGGUGCCCUGUGGACACCUUCACUUCCCUGCCUGGCCAGUCGGGCUGCCUCACCUGCAGCAGUGCUGCUUUCUCUCCACCAGGUGAGUGUCAGGCCUGCCUGCUCCAAACGGCUGACUGCCCA
rnacentral:lncRNA from 13 species